AUUGAACGCUGGCGGCAGGCCUAACACAUGCAAGUCGAGCGAGCGGCGGACGGGUGAGUAAUGGCUGGGAAACUGCCUGAUGGCGGGGGAUAACUACAGGAAACGGUAGCUAAUACCGCAUACCAUCAGAUGUGCCCCGAUGGGGUUCGCUGGGAGGUGGGGUAACGGCUCACCUAGGCGACGAUCCCUAGCUGGUCUGAGAGGAUGACCAGCCACACUGGAACUGAGACAGUGUCCAGACUCCUACGGGAGGCAGCAGUGGGGAAUAUUGCACAAUGGGCGCAAGCCUGAGACAGCCAUGCGGCGUGUGUGAAGAAGGCCUACGGGUUGUAAAGCACUUUCAGCGGGGAGGCGUUACCCGCAGAAGAAGCACCGGCUAACUCCGUGCCAGCAGCCGCGGUAAUAC
rnacentral:rRNA from 1 species